AGGAAAAAACCCCAACAAAACCCCAUUGAUUUUCCCUUUCAUCGAAUUUUAUUUGCACGUUUUUAGGUUCAUUGCGCAUUUCCCGUCCGUGUUUUAGGAGCGGCCCGCUCUCUCCUCUCCGUCCCCGCACCGCGUCCCUCUUCACCCUCCCAAACACGCAACCCCCGGCUCCCCAGUCCCCGCAGCUGGGGAGGCUUUCCGUGCCUCUCAGCCUUCCUCCCUCCUUACUGGACUCCUCCUAAUGCUCUUUUGUUUGUUUUUUUUUCUUCUUCUUCUUCGGGUGGGGGAGCCGGCUGGGCUGGAGCUGAAGGCGCCGCAAGCCUCCCGCCGGCGGCACGGCGAGGGGAGCCUCGGGGCGCCCCGCCGCUCCCCUCGCGUCCCCCGCACUCCGGCUCUCCGCUCCCUGAAGCUCUGUGUGCACAAGGGGCUCGCCUCUCCCUUUCCGUUAGAAGGACAUUUGUGAACAAGGAAUCCAUAGCAUGAAGAGCACAACAGAGCUGAAGCAUCCCAAUAAUGCAAAGAGAACAGUUACAUAUCAAGUGAGCACGACGAGAAAUCCUGGGCUGCUUUGGCCUCGUGGAGGAGCAACGCUCAGAGAGCAGAAGCUGUGCCUUGGCAGAGAGUAUGGAGGGGAGCUUCUCCCAGCUGGUGAAACCUGCCAAACAAGAUCGUAAAUUUGGGGACCAGAGUGUUGGUUUUGCUCAGGAAAGACCUGGUGACUGCAUUGACUCUAUGGAGCCACUGUCAAGCAUAUUUUUUUUCUGCUGCAAUUGCUGCAUUUGGUGUGCAAGUUUUUCUAUCAAGAAUAAACAUGAUAUUAAACUCACUUUCACCCCAUGCUUGUCAUCUGUUAAAUCAUAAAAGGAGCCUGAGCCAAGUACUGCUUUCGUCAGGAGAAUGGGUUUUGGCGCUGCCCUUCCAAGCUGGCUGGGUCUUACAGACAUAAACAGUAUGGAAAGCUGGUUUCAUUGGCUUCUCAGGAACUUAAAAGCACAUGUUUGAAGAUGUGUAUCAUCAGCAGAAUAGGGAUUGGAUUAUUCAUCCGCUUCCACCUAAGACCCCCUUGUAAGGACUUGUGUUUAAAAUGGAUUGAAUCACUCGCUUGCUUAAAAGCCGUUUUCAUUUUUAUAUAACAAUUUAUACUUAUCGCCAUGUAAGCGAGCACUUCAUCAGGCAAAGCUUUGUUCUUGUGAACCUGAUGUAUUAUUUUCCAUAGCAAUGUAGCAUGAAGCCCUUUCACAGAAACUUGUCUUGAUCUGCGGUAGGUAAGACUGACACAAUGAGGGAUAAAAGCAUUAAUUGACAAUUUCCAGUUAAAAUAGCACAUGAAAUGAAUAACAAUAAUUAAAAUAGUAGGUGAAGAUUCUGUAAAUAUUUACUAACUUCGAUGUAAGUGAUAUUUUUAUAAGAACGGUAACACCAGUUCCACGUUCUAACCUUCUCGGGUGGUAACUGUAAGGUGACUCUCCUUUGCUCUCAGGUAUCAGUGGAUCAGUUUGGGCUCACAUUAAGUUUGCAGUCUUUAUUAGCAAAAAAUCUUGGCAUCCACAGGAAUGAUAUUUUAAUGUUAAGGAAAAACUGUGAAAGCUCACACAUUUUUUUUUACCCUCAAAGAUUCACAGCCUUUUUUUUCCCCCCCCAAGAUAAAUUAUUGUCAAGAAUGAUAUAAACAAGCUUUUUUGGAAAUGAAGAAAGCGAAGAAGGAGGAAAGGGGAAGGGAAGCAUACAAUACACAUACCUGACAGUAUAAAACUCCCACCCAGUCUGGCUUCUUCAGCCUUUGAGCAUACCUUCUAAACUUUGUGGUACAGCAAGUGACAAAUCUCUCUCUGGAAGCUCUUCUAAAGACAACGCUACUGACUCACCAAAGACCGUUUGUUGAAGGGCCAGCCAGAGCAGACAGAUAAUUAUUCAUCAGCCUAUGAACACACAAAUUCUCCUUUGCUAGAUUAUGUGGUACACCUGCACCCUGAGAAUUGGCUACAAAGGUGGUGAAACCAAAAAGGCACUUCAAUCACCAUUUGUGAAAACUAGAUUUUACUACAACUGAGACAUCUUUUCUUUUAGACCAAUAUUCUGCUAUGCCCGUACAGGUGGGCCUCUGCUAUUUAUUUCACUGAUCUCCUGUGCAUCAUGGGACUUGAAUUUUACUAUUUCUCUUUUCUCUGAGGUUAAAUGCUUUUUGACUAAAGAAUUAUUUUUAUUAAGUAAUAGUAUUACUUGCACUACUUGUAGUAAGCAUAAAGCCUCCAGAAAGUCAACCUGCUUUUGUUUCUCUUCCUUAUUGAGAAUGGGUUAUCAAAAAAAGUUUGAGAAUACUUCUGUAUCGCAACUGUUAACGCAGUGACAUUUACCAGCCUGAACAGUGUGCUGAGACCACAGGUCUGUCAGGAGGUGAGGCACUGGAGAUAACUUCUAAGCUUUCGCUUCUUCCAAACCAUAAUGACAUCCCAAGAUGUAGGGGAAUAGACAGGGAUCGGCGACCGGAAGAUCACGGGCUGUGACGGAAAGACAGACUCCUCCCCAUAGGAGUGGCAGGAACAGGAAGCGCAAGAGCUAUAUAAGCGUGUGACGCAGCUAAAUAAACGGACAUUUUGUAUCCAUCAUAUUGAUGUCUGUGCAUCGCUGUCCCCAGGGCGGGUAGAGCCCUGUGUCCCGGAGGUAUGCGGCCCGAGAUAAGUUCUCCCACAGAAGCGUACAGCUACACCAACUCUGCUUCCUUGAGUUACUGAUUUGCUUUUGACAGUGGUGGGGCCAGAAUUUUACUGUCUGUAAACAAGAUACUGGUGUAUCUUGUUAAGUGUGUAGUAAGGAUAAUGCAGAUAAGCCUCUCCAAGUGUUAUCUCAUAUCCUAUGUAAAAUUCUGUUUAGCUCAAGUAUGUAGGAAACAACUUCUAAAAUAGACUAAAGAUUGUUAAUCAGCACUUGUGGAAUUAAUUUGAGGAUGAUUUUGGAAUAAUUAUGAGAUUGACGUUAUUGACAUAAAACUGUAUGAUCGGCAACAUGGCCUUCCUUUUCGACUUCUUUUGUAGAAUGUAACAACUGUCUGCACUUAAAAAAUAUCAGCCCUCACUGAGAGUACAUCUUAACUACUAGUUUGUUUUUUUUUUUCUGUUUAACCAGUGUUAAGAAAUUACACAGAACACUGUAUUUUUAAAACAAUGAGAUUACACACGGUCCAUUUACUAAUCUGAGGGGAAGAGAAGAGAAGGCUGCAAAGGAAGACUCUGCUGCGGACAGCUGUGGAGAGGAGCAGACUUGCUGGACAGGGCAGGAAGGCUGUUAUGUUACCACAGGAAAGAGGGAGGAUGAGGUAUGAAUAUGGCUGGGACCAGGUAACCUCUUACAGAAACCACUAACCUCUUACAGAAACCUCUUCAAAACUUCUGUCUUUAUCCGCAUUAAAACUGACAAAAUUUUAGUUUUAACGAAAUCUUUAAUGAAAAGUCUUAUCAAAGAAAAUGUCUUCCUUUGGCUUUCCGCCCCUUUUACUAAUUUGUGUCUUUAGCCCCAGACCAUAAAUCUUAACAAUGUAACUUAAUAUUACUAAAUAUUACUUAUUUAAAAGAAUUCUCAAUACAUUUCAGGGUCCUUAUGAUUUUAAAUAAAACCUACUUACAUAGGAAGUCAGCACAAUGUCUAUGUACCAUUUAAAUCUUCAAAUUAGGCCUUUAAGUCCUGCGAUUUUUGGUAUAGUUAUGCAGCGCAAUGUACAUUGUGAACACUUAAUACCAAGAAAAGUAAAUAAUAUUUUUAAAAAGCUGAAAAAAGUUUUAACAAAAGCUGAAACUAAUCAUAUGACUUCUGUAUUUUAUUACAUAUCUGAACCUUAUAUAUAGGGAAAAAAAUUCAAGCAUUUUUAAUCAUAUUUUUACUGUGACAGAUGAAUGUUGUGUAUAUGCUGUAAAUUUUGCUGCUAUUCCAGCUUAAAAAAGAAACCAACAAAACUAGCUUUUGCUAGUACAAGUCAGAAGCGGUACUGUCAGACUUUAGACAGCAUGGAACAGUAACAAAUAUAUUUAUUGAUAUAAAUUCCUAAGUGGAAUAUGGAAAGGAAAGUCACAUUUAAUAUGAAAAAAAUGCAGGAUCUUGAUUGUCACUAAGCAGCGCACUGGGAGAUGCACUUCUCUGGCACUUUUAAAGCAGUUCUGUGAUUUCCUCGCUUGUUUUGUCGUGCAGGUGAUUAAUGCUGCAGAAGGCAAGUAAGCUUAAGAAGUUCUCCAGUUAUAAAAAUACAUUUGACUUCAAUUGUGUGACAAGUAAUUAUGACAAUCAGUCUGAAUUCUGGAUGUGAAGACAGGGAAACAGCAGUUGUGAAAAUAGUUUUUUUUAACACAUAAUAGCUAAGAUGAAAGUCAUGCUGAGAAUACCUGCGGCAUCAGGCCCCAUAAGGAGUACGUUCUGCCUGGAGCAGCAGAGCAGUACUAAAUCUUGUUCACCUCCUACAUCUCUGUGAAGCCUCACAGGGUUUUUGGCCUGCCGAGUUAGUGGAUAGAAGUGAUGUACAAAGGGGUCCACAGGAGUGAAUGAAAGGUCAGUUUGUUGAUGCAGGGUCACGGGGCUGCAGAAAGCCUUGUGCAGUGCAGGCAGACAUGUAUUUUGCUGGAAGGGGAAGGCUGCGUUUGAAAUUAAAGUCUUCUUUUCAGUUUUGGUGUAUUUCAUGCGUAAGGAGAACACAAUGCUCAAGCUGUGGCCCAACAGGAUACAUUUCCACAGGGAAAGCGGAAAAGACAAAUAGUAAAUGAUCUUCAAUAUCUACCUUAUAUUUCAGAAAUAUUGCUCGUUUUCUUAUGUUACGGUUACAUAUGAAAAGCAUUGCGAACUUGUUACGUUUUGGCUAUUAGCACACGUGCGCACACAGAUGCCUCUGCCUCGAGUCCGCCAGAGCAUUCCUUGCCACUCGGCAGCCUACGUGCGCGCGCAGGGCUCGGAGGACGAGAUCCUCCUAGCGGAAUACAGCCAAAACCGAGACAGGUUGCAUAGGUGGUCUUUCUCCAGAAAAAACUUACCUGAACAAGCUUUGGUAAUUUUUGUUUUCCUUUAGAGAAUUUCUCAUCUGCAUGGAUUGUCGCACUUGCCAUAAAGUUACUAACAAAGGCUACGCUUGCUCUGAAAACUUAAGCUUAUACUGGUGUCCGCUGUCAAAACCAGACUACUGAAAUAACGAAUGAGCUUCACUUCCUCAGAAUGUGUAAAUGUCCCAACUUAGAGUUAAACUUUCAACAAGUGAAAGACAAUACCAUUGACAUGUACCUGGCACCAGUUACUCAGGUUUAUUUUUUCCUGGAAAGCUGUUUUGGGCGACAGAGUGGCGUCCGGGUUUCCCAGGUUGUUGUGCUGACAAACUGCAGUGGUAGUAAAGGCAGGGAGUCUGACAAAAUCUCAUUAAUCAUUUUAAAUUAAAUCCAACAUUCCUCUCCAACACUGCCAAGAAGAAAGCUAACUUUUACAAAUGAAUACUCUCUCCGAAAAGAACUGGUAUCCUGACUAUGUUGCUUUCACAUAAAUACGCUUGAUUUCUGUCACGUACACCUACUCAAUAAGUAGUAUUUUUAAGCUUAAAAAACAAUGCAUUUUUUAUAAUUGCUAGAAAUCUGAAAAAGUGCUUUUAGCUCGUUUUUUGUAUUAGGUGCUGAGUGAACCACAUAUCUGAAAAUCAGAGCCUCUUCAUUCUUUCAGUGAAUUGUGGGUUUUUUGCCUUUUUAAAUCAUAAAGCAAAUUCAGAAAGCUCCUUUUUAAUGCAAGAAAAUUUCACACAGGGAAUGGAAGUAUUCUGUGUAACUAUUUUCUAAUCCAUCUCUUGUCUAAGCUUUUUUACAUGAAUAAGGAAGGAAAACUGCAGAUUUACUAACAUCAUUGUCGGCAAAAGCACUGAAGUGAUGAAGGAGCAAUGUGAUCUCUCUGAAGCUUUUUACACACACAUUCAUUUCUCAAUGAUGUAACUAAUCCCAGCUAUCUGGCUAUGAUUUAAUUACACACAUCGUAUGGCAAAUGAAACCAUAAUGUGCCUAUGGGAGACACAGGAAAUCCUUUAAGUCUGUCCUUUGUCUAUUUUAAUAGUGCUUUUGAGAUUAGAGUGGUAGACUUCACAACGGCAGAGAACAAGUCAUCAGCCUUAAUGUUUAUUAGUUUUGAUACUUACAUGAAAUAUGUGAAAAGAAAAAAAAUCCCAAUCCCAUAUAAGAUUAACUGACCACUGCCUUGGGCUUUCUGAAAUAUAUGAAAUGACACAGGGUGAAGUGAUAAGAAGUUAUCCUGAGAGAGGGGAGUGGUAUUGUAAAACCUGCCCAGCACAUAGCUGCAAAACUACUGGCUCCUGGCUUUGGCUGUGUAUGCUACCCAAACACAAAUGACAUCUACACUUGAUUAAAGCCCAUACAUGGACUGUCAUUGUCAUCACUUCUCAUAUUUAAGACAAAUAUAACACCCCCUAGGUGCCAAACGGAAAGCAGCAGUGUGGGUAAAGUGCGUGCCUGCGAGGACUACGACCUGCAUUCAAUUCCUGGUUCUGCCAUAAGCAUCCUACAUAAAAAAUCAGAUUAAUCUGAAAAACAACUAUCUUCCUACCUCACCUCACGGUGUGGUAGGGAAAAAAGGGCUAAGGCCAAGCUCUCUCAUCAAAUCGGGGUUACAAGCACAGAAUCUGUGAGAGAACUUUGUUAUGAGAGUCUCAAGGUACUCCCCACGCUCCUCAGGAGC